UACGUAGGCAGCGAGCGUUGUUCGGAGUUACUGGGCGUAAAGAGUGCGUAGGCGGUUUUCUAAGUUUGGUGUGAAAUCUCCCGGCUUAACUGGGAGGGUGCGCCGAAAACUGGAAGGCUUGAGUAUGGGAGAGGUAAGCGGAAUUCCUGGUGUAGCGGUGAAAUGCGUAGAUAUCUGGAGGAACACCGGUGGCGAAGGCGGCGUCCUGGACCAACACUGACACUGAAAAGCGAAAGCCAGGGGAGCAAACGGG
rnacentral:rRNA from 1 species